GCCUUUUAAUUGCUUAACUUGAAUCAAACGCUUGGGGUAGCCUUCCAUAAGCUUCUCACAAUAAUUUGCCAGGAUUUUUGCCCAUUCCUCCUGACAGAACUGGGGUAACUCAGUCAGGUUUAUGGGCAUUUUUGCUCAGACAGGCCUUUUAAGUUCAGUCCACACAUUUUCUGUGGGCUUCAGGUCAGUGCUUUGUGAAGGCCACUCCAAUACUUUCAUUUUGUUGUCUUUAAGCCAUUUUUGUACACCUAUGAAGGUAUGCUUAGGAUCAUUGUCCUGCUGGAAGACCCAGUUGCUACCAAGUUGUAACCUUCUAGGUGAUGUUUUGAGGUGUUGCUUCAGUAUUUCUAGAUAAUCCUUCCUCAUGAUGCCAUCUAUUUUCUGAAGUGCACCAGUCCCUUUUCUAGCAAAACACUCCCACAACAAGAUGCUGCCACCCCCAUGCUUCACAGUUGGGAUGGUGUUCUUCAGAUUAAAAGCUUCUCCCUUUUUUCCUCCAUACAUAGCGCUGAUCGUUUCAUCUGACCAGAGAACACUCCUCUGAAAGGCAGUGGCUCUAAAGUGUUGUGUGAAUGGAGCCGGAGUCCAUUUUCGAUGUAAGACGUUCAGUUUCUUCAGUUUUUUGGGUCAGGACCUAGCGAGAUUUACAGUAUUCUUCUGCCACUAUUCAAGGUUGCCAAGUUAUUACGUAAGGUCUUUUGUUUCACAGUUUCUGUAAUAAAUACUCAAUCUGGCCUCUUAACAAUUCUUGCACAAAUAUGAGGCAUUGCACGUAGAAGAUAUUGGAGCUGCAUUGUGUGAGUUUGUGAGGGAAGUUACCACAUUUAUUUUAGGAGGAAUAAAAAGUGUUGUUGUCCUUGUUUGGCAUGGUUUUUUCUAUUAUAAGACCACCAUUAUGAAAUUGCCUGGGUGUUAUGCAAUACUUCUCCCUGGAAAACAUUUGUCUGGCUCUUCCAGUUAAACAAAGUUUUAGUUGCGUUUUUUUACCCAGUGUAGCAGUUAAAUAGCACCACAUAUCAAUGGCUGAUAUAACUACUUAUUUAACUUGGGUAACAGAAUUAUUUCAUUGCAUUUGAAGGAAAACAACUAUUCAUCAAGUAUUGAUAUUGAGAUCAUAACCCAUACUUCAAUUAGCCACGUUUACAUGCAGAAUAUUUCAUCAUUCCGAAUACAUUAAUUCCCAUUGAAGAUUCCAGAUGAACUGCUUACAUGCACGUUGAUCUGAUUAAGGUGUACGUUUACAUGCGCAAGCAUGUAAUUGGAAUAAAACGUUUUUGACAUGCGCAAAACCCCAAACUCUAGCUAACUUGAUUUGGCGUUUGAUUGUGCAGUACCAAUUUUUAUAGAUAUCUCAAUAUAUAUGCAUUGUAUGGUGUGUACAAUUUGCAUUGCUAGUGUUCUUACAUGGGCUAUCAGGCAGUAGUGCCAACGGAAUAUGAUUUUCCUACAGUUAUUAUACAGAAGGCGAGACUGUAGUUCUGUGUAUUCCGCUGUCCUUAAUUUUUUCACACACUUGAUCGAAAAGUGUAAAAUAAUUUUCAAAUAUUGAGGCUUUCCGCGAUUUUUAAUUUUUUUAACGUUUCCAAGGGGAAAAGUGAGUCGCCCACAGACCAUCAAAAUAUACAAGAACUGGAGACAGCUUACUGGUUCCAUGAUCUCAUGAAGGACCUGAUGUAAUGGCCAAUAUAUGUUUUGCAUAACUCCUCAUCAUUUGAGGCAAAUGAAAAUUGUAUUAUAUCCUGCUAAAACAGCCUCUUUGAGUCUGAGAAAAAUAAUCCUUUCCCAUAGAGAUUUUUUGUCCACUGUCAAAAUAGAUAGAAUAUUCUGCUCUCCUUACAGUUUCAUUUGUAAGAGUUAGCAGGUAGAGAACAGCUUCACUGAAGUUCCAGACUCGUAAAAUGAAGUUCUGGUACUUCACUGGCACAAUCAUUUCUUGUAAAACUGCACAGAAAUAACAGUAAAAGUACAAACUUGCAUUUUGUUUGUUUUUUUUCAUAUACCUAAGCUAACAACAGCAUGUCAGAAUUAGUAUAUUUAUACUAGCAUUCAUAAAGACCUGCAGUGGUUUAGAGAUUGUAAGAACGAUUGAACUUCUAAUUUCUUUACAUUAACACACAUUAACCCCUUAAACCCCACUUAAAAUCCAAGGCUUUUUGUAAGUAAACCCCAUUAUCUCCAAAAUUAUAUACAGUACAGACAUGGUUCAGAGCUUGAAAUAAGCAUUUGUACCAAAAUGACCAAAUAAAUCCAAAAAUCGUUUUGUAUUUCAUUUAUUCUGUAGUGAUUAUAUGUAUUUCUGAUACUUGACGAAACCAAAUUUUUUCCCCAGUCAUAGCCCAGGAUGUGUACAACACAGGAAUACAAGUUUGGAGUGGAU